GGCGAACGCUGGCGGCGUGCUUAACACAUGCAAGUCGAACGGAAAGGCCCUGCUUUUGUGGGGUGCUCGAGUGGCGAACGGGUGAGUAACACGUGAGUAACCUGCCCUUGACUUUGGGAUAACUUCAGGAAACUGGGGCUAAUACCGGAUAGGAGCUCCUGCUGCAUGGUGGGGGUUGGAAAGUUUCGGCGGUUGGGGAUGGACUCGCGGCUUAUCAGCUUGUUGGUGGGGUAGUGGCUUACCAAGGCUUUGACGGGUAGCCGGCCUGAGAGGGUGACCGGCCGCAUUGGGACUGAGAUACGGCCCAGACUCCUACGGGAGGCAGCAGUGGGGAAUAUUGCACAAUGGGCGGAAGCCUGAUGCAGCAACGCCGCGUGCGGGAUGACGGCCUUCGGGUUGUAAACCGCUUUCGCCUGUGACGAAGCGUGAGUGACGGUAAUGGGUAAAGAAGCACCGGCUAACUACGUG
rnacentral:rRNA from 1 species